rnacentral:sRNA from 1 species
GCUGGGCGUAGUGGCACAUGCCUGUAAUCCCAGCAGCUUGGGAAGCUGAGACAAGAGGAUGGUGAGUUCAAAUCCAGCCUCAGCAACUGCGAGGCACUAAGCAACUCAGUGAGACCCUGUCUCUA